UACGUAGGGGGCUAGCGUUGUCCGGAAUCAUUGGGCGUAAAGCGCGUGUAGGCGGUCCGGUAAGUCCGCUGUGAAAGUCGGGGGCUCAACCCUCGGAUGCCGGUGGAUACUGUCGGGCUUGAGUACGGAAGAGGCGAGUGGAAUUCCUGGUGUAGCGGUGAAAUGCGCAGAUAUCAGGAGGAACACCAAUAGCGAAGGCAGCUCGCUGGGACGGUACUGACGCUGAGGCGCGAAAGCGUGGGGAGCGAACAGG
rnacentral:rRNA from 1 species